UAAAUGACAUCGAAAAGAAGAGUAGCAGUUAGGUGCUUGAAGAGAGUCUCUGGUAGGUGAAAAGAGACAGCCACUGAUUGUGAACCACAUCUUGGAGUCGGUUUUCUGAAAAACACAGUAAGAAAAUCCGGGAAGCCCGUUAUAGCUACGGUCGUUGUUAGACGACUAGAUAAGGUUAGUUUUGUGAGAAACUAAUAAAAAAAGGUGGAACCACGUAUUGAACGUCCUUUGA
rnacentral:ncRNA from 1 species